rnacentral:rRNA from 1 species
UAAGACGAAGGGGGCUAGCGUUGUUCGGAAUUACUGGGCGUAAAGCGAGUGUAGGUGGUUGUCGUAGUCAGGCGUGAAAGCCUUGAGCUCAACUCAAGAAAUGCGCUUGAUACUGGGCAGCUAGAGGACCGGAGAGGAUAGUGGAAUUCCCAGUGUAGUGGUGAAAUACGUAGAGAUUGGGAAGAACACCAGUGGCGAAGGCGGCUAUCUGGACGGUUUCUGACACUAAGACUCGAAAGCGUGGGGAGCAAACAGGAUUAGAUACCCUGGUAGUCCACGCCGUAAACGAUGGGUGCUAGACGUUGGCGGGCUUGCUCGUCAGUGUCGCAGCUAACGCGUUAAGCACCCCGCCUGGGGAGUACGGCCGCAAGGUUG